rnacentral:rRNA from 1 species
UACAGAGGUGGCAAGCGUUGUUCGGAAUUACUGGGCGUAAAGGGCGCGUAGGCGGCCAACUAAGUCGGAUGUGAAAUCCCCAGGCUCAACCUGGGAACUGCAUCCGAUACUGGAUGGCUUGAAUUCGGGAGAGGGAUGCAGAAUUCCAGGUGUAGCGGUGAAAUGCGUAGAUAUCUGGAGGAAUACCGGUGGCGAAGGCGGCAUCCUGGACCGACAUUGACGCUGAUGAGCGAAAGCUAGGGGAGCAAACGGG